UUUGAGCUGAACUAAAAAUCAUACGAUUAUAUCAAUGGCAAGUGCUGGAUAUAAAAUCUAAAAUUUUUUGUUUGUCAUUUUGAUGAAAUAUAAGGAAAAAACAAAUUAUUCGGAUAUUAAGUAUACAUCAGUAAUACGAAUAAGUAAUUUUGUUAAAAUCUUCCAAAUUAAAUGGUAAAUACAUAUAUUCGAAUAACUACAGGCCCAACUACUCGUAUAAGACGCAUUUGCAUAAUAAACAAAAGUUGACAUCAUUUGGUGGGCCCAGCAUCGAAAUUUAGUAAGAGCUAUAAUCAAAUGAUUAUUCAAAGCCCUUCACCUUUCGGCGUAGGUGGGCUUAAAAGAUAGAUCGUAUCUCAACUGAGAUUUAUAACUUGUUGCCAAGCUUUUAAGUUAAACAAUGUCGCUUUUCUUUCACUUAUAAUUGACUUUAAGUGAAAAACUGUACAACAAUUGUUCACGAAAGUUGACAAUUGUUUUAAGCAUCAAUUCCCAGACAUUAAACAAAAAGUUUUCGUCGCACCCUUUGUUAAUUUUUAAAAAGUUUUCGCAUUAAUAACGCUGCAACUUUAAAUUGAUGAUAAACAAAAUAAAUUCCAGAUCGUGAUGAUUAUAUUUGACGACAAAAUUAAAUAUCAAAAAAAUAUUAGUUAAAUUGGUUUGAUUUUUAUUGGUUUUAUUUAUGCAACAUCGAAUUACAUAACAAACUUAACAGUAAUUUGCGUAACAUUUGCAUCUCCCCCCUACGAAAAGAGACAAGAAGACAGAAAUUUCAAUCAAAACGAAAUGCACAAGACCAUAACAUCGAGAUAGGUCCAGUGUCCAAAUAUUGGACUCCAAAAAUCU